UUAACUGUCUGCUUUCAAUUC
rnacentral:piRNA from 1 species